GACGAACGCUGGCGGCGUGCCUAAUACAUGCAAGUCGAGCGCAGGAAACUGACGGAACUCUUCGGAGGGAAGGCAGCGGAAUGAGCGGCGGACGGGUGAGUAACACGUAAGGAACCUGCCUCAAGGAUUGGGAUAACUCCGAGAAAUCGGAGCUAAUACCGGAUAGUUCAACGGACCGCAUGGUCCGCUGAUGAAAGGCGCUCCGGCGUCACCUUGAGAUGGACUUGCGGUGCAUUAGCUAGUUGGUGGGGUAACGGCCCACCAAGGCGACGAUGCAUAGCCGACCUGAGAGGGUGAUCGGCCACACUGGGACGGAGACACGGCCCAGACUCCUACGGGAGGCAGCAGUAGGGAAUCUUCCACAAUGGACGAAAGUCUGAUGGAGCAACGCCGCGUGAGUGAUGAAGGUUUUCGGAUCGUAAAACUCUGUUGUAAGGGAAGAACACGUACGAGAGGGAAUGCUCGUACCUUGACGGUACCUUACGAGAAAGCCACGGCUAACUACGUGCCAGCAGCCGCAGUAACAC
rnacentral:rRNA from 1 species